CCUACGGGUGGCAGCAGUCGAGAAUCAUUCACAAUGGGGGAAACCCUGAUGGUGCGACGCCGCGUGGGGGAAUGAAGGUCUUCGGAUUGUAAACCCCUGUCAUGUGGGAGCAAAUUAAAACGAUAGUACCGCAAGAUGAAGAGAUGGCUAACUCUGUGCCAGCAGCCGCGGUAAUACAGAGGUCUCAAGCGUUGUUCGGAAUCACUGGGCGUAAAGCGUGCGUAGGCUGUUUCGUAAGUCGUGUGUGAAAGGCGCGGGCUCAACCCGCGGACGGCACAUGAUACUGCGAGACUAGAGUAAGGGAGGGGGAACCGGAAUUCUCGGUGUAGCAGUGAAAUGCGUAGAUAUCGAGAGGAACACUCGUGGCGAAGGCGGGUUCCUGGACAGUAACUGACGCUGAGGCACGAAGGCCAGGGGAGCGAAAGGGAUUAGAUACCCCGGUAGUC
rnacentral:rRNA from 1 species